rnacentral:rRNA from 1 species
UAAUACAGAGACUGCAAGCGUUAUUCGGAUUCACUGGGCGUAAAGGGUGCGCAGGCGGCCGAGUGUGUCAGAUGUGAAAUCCCGAGGCUUAACCUCGGAACUGCGUCUGAAACUACUUGGCUAGAGUAUUGGAGAGGGUAACGGAAUUCACGGUGUAGCAGUGAAAUGCGUAGAUAUCGUGAGGAACACCAGAGGCGAAGGCGGUUACCUGGACAAUUACUGACGCUCAGGCACGAAAGCGUGGGGAGCAAAAGGG